rnacentral:rRNA from 1 species
AUUGAACGCUGGCGGCAUGCCUUACACAUGCAAGUCGAACGGCAGCACGGGGGCAACCCUGGUGGCGAGUGGCGAACGGGUGAGUAACAUAUCGGAACAUACCCUAGAGUGGGGGAUAACGUAGCGAAAGUUACGCUAAUACCGCAUACGAUCUAAGGAUGAAAGUGGGGGAUCUUCGGACCUCAUGCUCAUGGAGUGGCCGAUAUCUGAUUAGCUAGUUGGUGAGGUAAAGGCUCACCAAGGCGACGAUCAGUAGCUGGUUUGAGAGAACGACCAGCCACACUGGAACUGAGACACGGUCCAGACUCCUACGGGAGGCAGCAGUGGGGAAUUUUGGGACAAUGGGGGCAACCCUGAUCCAGCAAUGCCGCGUGAGUGAAGAAGGCCUCGGUUGUAAGCUCUUUGUCUAGGGAGAAACGGUGAGUUCGUAAUACAGCUUGCUAAUGACGGUACCUGAAGAAUAAG